rnacentral:lncRNA from 1 species
AGAAACUGCAGGGACCCCCGGGACCUCCGCGCUCGCUCCAGGUGGCAGCUCCCGACCCCGUCACCAGGGGGUCUCGGGAGCGAGCGCUUCCGGGCCGGGCGUCACGUGACCAGUCCAGGUCCCGCCCCGCGCCGUGGCCCCGCCCCGCCAAGGAGGGCGCCGGGCAGCCGUGCGGAGGCGGUGCGGAGCCGCCCGAUGCGCGCCGGUCCCCACAGCGUGACGGUGGCAAGUUACGGACCCAGGUCUCCCCAUUUGUAAAAGCGGAGCCUGGGGGGCCACGGGGCUUUCAGCUGCGCCAAGAAGGUGAAAAUCCUAUCCCCGCAGCACCCUUUCCCGCCUUCGGUGACACGAGUUACUGCUGUCGGCGGUUCCAGGGAUCGCUCAACGUCACAGUGGCAAGUAAGCUCUCCGUCUCCUCCUUCUGCCAUCCUCACUGUGUCCGCGAUGCCUUCUCUCCUGGUCACAGGAUGCCUGCCACUGUUCCGGGCAUCGCACGUAGACCUGGCGAGGUCCGGUCCAAGUAGUGGCGUUUCCUCCACCGCGAUUUCUUUUAGGAGGAGAAACGCCUUUCUGCCCCCACAGACUUCCCCCAAAGAGACCCUUAGCCAGACUUGAGCGCACUCAUAACUGAUCCGAUCUUUGGAAAGAAUGCUGGAGGUCACCGUGAUUGAUUUAGUCUCUAGAACUGAGGUUGGAAAAGGGUGAGCACCUGAAGGAUGUCAGUCCUCUGCCAUCGAGGCAGAAGGGCGCAGGGAUGAUUUUCGAUUAGGUGACCGGUAGUACCUGCCACAGUGGCCCACACGACAAACUCCGGGGAAGGUUGGGUGGGCUGCAAGCUCUGUGUGAGCCUAUGAGUCAGAUGGACUCCUAGGCUGCUUUAAUAAGAAAGUAGCAUCCAGAGCAAGAGAGAGAGAGCGGUCAUUGUGUCUCUGUGCUGGCUGGGCCACACACGGUGUGUCAAGUCCCAGGGGAAGAAGUAAGCGGAAGCUCUUACAGAGAAGGGAGUGGGAUGGGUGGGUGUCUAGCACACUGUCAUGGGAAGCAGGGCUGAAAGAACAGGGCAUUGAACCGGGAGAACACUGGGAGACACCUUUCCAUAUGGGGAGCCAUCCUGAAUCCUAGAGAGAUGCCCACAACAGAGGGAAUCACUUCAUGUGGUUCUGGAGGGCACAGCCAGACCCGGAAGCAGUUCUUAUCUCAAUAUAGAAGGAAGACAUUUAUGGUCCCUAGAGCUGCUGCUCAGUGAACGAAGGGGCUGCCUCAGAGGGUGAGGGUCCUGUAAAUGGAGGCUCUAUGACCUGCUGGGAAGCCACCGAGGCCGUUCUUGCUUUGGUAGGGAAGUUGGAUUAGAGGCCUUCCAGGCAUGGAGGUGCAGUGGAAAGGGCCUGAGCUUAGGAGUCAGAGGGUCCUGGAGAGGCUUUGCCGCUUACUAGCUGUGUGACUUUGGGCAAAUCACUUAACCUCUCUGAGUCUCACCUUUCUCAUCUACCAAACUGAGGGCAACAGUACCUGCCUCACAGGGUG